ACUGCAGACUUUAGUGAAUCUCUGUGCAGGGAAGUUCUUCUUCUCCUUCUUUUUUCAAUACCAGGGAUGGUACCCACUAAGAGACCUCUCCAGCCCUUUGGAUUUGAUUUUGAGACAGGGUCUCACUAGGUCGCCCAGGCUGGCCUUGAACUUGGGAUCCUCCUGCCUCAGCCUCCCGAGGAGCUGGCAUUACGGCUGUGCACCAGCAUGCCCGUGUAGGCUUAGGAAUGUUCUCUAGCAGGGGACAUUCUGCCCAGGCAUCUUCUUGCGGAGGCUUCUUGGCAAGCCCAGGAGGGCAGGCCCCCUGUGUGUCCAUCUGCCAGGAGACACACAGGAGUGGCCGGCACCCAGAGACACAGAGAGAGGACAGCAGGUGUGCAGACGGAGGCAGAGACGGUGAGGUGGUCCCCACCAAGGAGUCCCCAGAGCUAAAGGGGCAGGAAGGACGGGCCUCUGGAGUCCCCUAGGGUCUGUCCACACCUCGAUGUUGGACUUCUGGUCUCCAGAACUGCCAGAGAAGAAAUCUCUGUGGCUUCAGGCCAUCAGGAAGCUGUAAGAUUGACCAGAUGCGGAAGAGGGGACAGGGAAGAACUCAAACAUAAGGAGAAACUCCAAUAAAACAUGAGCACGGGAAUCGGACACGGAUUUGAAGACCAAAUUUGGAGACUGCUCACCAAAGACCUGCGGAAGGUGGGAGAGCAUGUGAUCCCGUGUCAUGAGACACCCCUGCAGGCACAGGACAUGCAUUCCGUCCCUCCCGCCAGUCCCAUCCGCGGGUGGAUGAUGUGGCCAUCCCUGCAAGGGAACCCCGCACAGCAAAGGAGGGGGCAGACUAUCCACCUCGCAGCCGAUGGAUCUUAAAGUGAAAAAAGCCAGACAGAAAAAGAGCCCCGCUGUGUGGUCCCUGGAGUGUCUACAGAACUCCACACAGCAACCAACCCUCCCUGGUGAUGAAAAAGCGGGUGGUGCUGGCCUGGGGACACCCUGGGACAGGGGCAAGGACGGCAGCAUGGGGGAUCUUACUGGUUGCAAUGGCUGCCCAGGUGUGUGCCCGUGUCAACGCACAUCAGCUCAUGCCCUGUGAAUGUCUGCAGUUCCCUGGUAUCAACUAAACCGCCACCAAGCUGUUCUAAAAAAGAGAGAGGGAUUGCUGGGCGCGGUGGGGCACACUUGUAGUCCCAGUAGCUCCGGAGGCUGAGGCAGGAGGAUGGAAAGUUCGAGGCCAGCCUCAGCAACUUUGCAAGACCCUAAGCAAC